rnacentral:rRNA from 1 species
GUGAGGAAUAUUGGUCAAUGGGCGCAAGCCUGAACCAGCCAUGCCGCGUGCAGGAAGACGGUCCUAUGGAUUGUAAACUGCUUUUAUUUGGGAAUAAACCUCCUUACGUGUAGGGAGCUGAAGGUACCAAAUGAAUAAGCACCGGCUAACUCCGUGCCAGCAGCCGCGGUAAUACGGAGGGUGCAAGCGUUAUCCGGAAUCAUUGGGUUUAAAGGGUCCGCAGGCGGUCAUAUAAGUCAGUGGUGAAAGCCUACAGCUCAACUGUAGAACUGCCAUUGAUACUGUAUGACUUGAAUUCGAUCGAAGUGGGCGGAAUGUGACAUGUAGCGGUGAAAUGCUUAGAUAUGUCACAGAACACCGAUAGCAAAGGCAGCUCACUAGGUCUGGAUUGACGCUCAGGGACGAAAGCGUGGGGAGCAAACAGGAUUAGAAACCCUGGUAGUCC